GGCGGCGUGCCUAAUACAUGCAAGUAGAACGCUGAAGAGAGGAGCUUGCUCUUCUUGGAUGAGUUGCGAACGGGUGAGUAACGCGUAGGUAACCUGCCUUGUAGCGGGGGAUAACUAUUGGAAACGAUAGCUAAUACCGCAUAACAAUGGAUGACACAUGUCAUUUAUUUGAAAGGGGCAAUUGCUCCACUACAAGAUGGACCUGCGUUGUAUUAGCUAGUAGGUGAGGUAACGGCUCACCUAGGCGACGAUACAUAGCCGACCUGAGAGGGUGAUCGGCCACACUGGGACUGAGACACGGCCCAGACUCCUACGGGAGGCAGCAGUAGGGAAUCUUCGGCAAUGGGGGCAACCCUGACCGAGCAACGCCGCGUGAGUGAAGAAGGUUUUCGGAUCGUAAAGCUCUGUUGUAAGUCGAGAACGAGUGUGAGAGUGGAAAGUUCACACUGUGACGGUAGCUUACCAGAAAGGGACGGCUAACUACGUGCCAGCAGCCGCGGUAAUACGUAGGUCCCGAGCGUUGUCCGGAUUUAUUGGGCGUAAAGCGAGCGCAGGCGGUUUGAUAAGUCUGAAGUUAAAGGCUGUGGCUCAACCAUAGUUCGCUUUGGAAACUGUCAAACUUGAGUGCAGAAGGGGAGAGUGGAAUUCCAUGUGUAGCGGUGAAAUGCGUAGAUAUAUGGAGGAACACCGGUGGCGAAAGCGGCUCUCUGGUCUGUAACUGACGCUGAGGCUCGAAAGCGUGGGGAGCGAACAGGAUUAGAUACCCUGGUAGUCCACGCCGUAAACGAUGAGUGCUAGGUGUUGGAUCCUUUCCGGGAUUCAGUGCCGCAGCUAACGCAUUAAGCACUCCGCCUGGGGAGUACGACCGCAAGGUUGAAACUCAAAGGAAUUGACGGGGGCCCGCACAAGCGGUGGAGCAUGUGGUUUAAUUCGAAGCAACGCGAAGAACCUUACCAGGUCUUGACAUCCCGAUGCUAUUUCUAGAGAUAGAAAGUUACUUCGGUACAUCGGUGACAGGUGGUGCAUGGUUGUCGUCAGCUCGUGUCGUGAGAUGUUGGGUUAAGUCCCGCAACGAGCGCAACCCCUAUUGUUAGUUGCCAUCAUUCAGUUGGGCACUCUAGCGAGACUGCCGGUAAUAAACCGGAGGAAGGUGGGGAUGACGUCAAAUCAUCAUGCCCCUUAUGACCUGGGCUACACACGUGCUACAAUGGUUGGUACAACGAGUUGCGAGUCGGUGACGGCAAGCUAAUCUCUUAAAGCCAAUCUCAGUUCGGAUUGUAGGCUGCAACUCGCCUACAUGAAGUCGGAAUCGCUAGUAAUCGCGGAUCAGCACGCCGCGGUGAAUACGUUCCCGGGCCUUGUACACACCGCCCGUCAA
rnacentral:rRNA from 1 species